rnacentral:rRNA from 1 species
UCUUUUAAUUGAAGGCUUGUAUGAAUGGUUGGACGAAAUAUUAACUGUCUCAAAUGAAUAAUUAAAAUUUUAUUUUUUAGUUAAAAAGCUAAAAUAUAAUUAAAAGACGAGAAGACCCUAUAGAUUUUUAUAUUUUUUAUUAUUAAUUUCAUAAAGAAUAAUUUGAAUUUUAUAGUUGAAAAUAUUUUAUUGGGGUGAUAAUAAAAUUUAAAUAACUUUUAUAUAAAAUUACGUUAAUUAGCGAAUAAUUGAUCCAUUAAUAAUGAUUGUUAGAUUAAGUUACCUUAGGGAUAACAGCGUAAUUUAUUUAGAGAGUUCAUAUCGAUAAAUAAGAUUGC